UGUGUGUGUGUGUGAGUUUGUAAAACCUACCAACCGGGGAAAAUCGUAUGAAUACACACCAACAAACCGGGGAACACCUACCAACCGGGGAAUUCCCCGGUUGGUUUUAGGCGAAAAUCUCUAAUCUACGUGUAUGAAAUACCAAACUGUCAAUUUAAAUUAGAAUUCCAACGCCUUCCCCGAUUAGCGGGUUUGUGGCAUGCACAAACUAUACACAAAUCUUGACCAAAUUACAAUCGAGUGUGUAUCCAGGCUAAUAACAGUUCCCCGGUUGCGCUGUUUAAAAAUCAUACACUCGGUAUUUAUAUCAUUUAGUGAAAGUAUGUUGGAAAAAUGGAGUUUCGAGCGAACAAACGCAUUAAACUAAGUAGCCAAAAGGGGCCAAGUCCCCUUGAUCUCGCAAGAACGUACUGCCAGAAUUACGUUGAUCCACCAGGUUUUGAAGUAAAAACCGUAGAUGAUGUCAUAGGCGAAGGAGUAUUUGCCACUAAGCCUUUUUAAAAAGGAGACUUUCUUCUCGAAUACAAAGGAGAUAUGAUAACACGAGUAAAGCAUGCACGGCAAUUAGAAAAGGAGUAUGAAAAAGAGGGUCAAGGCAGCUUCAUGUACUUUUUAAAUACAGAGACAAAUCUUGCUGCAUUGACGCUACCAACGAUAUAUUUCAUGAGGGUCGAAUGAUAAAUGAUGCCGAAAAUGGAGACGCAAAACAAAAUUGUGUAAUGAAAAUAGUUGAAGUCAACCAAACUCCCCAUCUAUGCACUAUCGCCGACAGAGACAUUGCAAUUGGCGAGGAACUCCGAUAUGAUUAUGGAGUACCAACACUUCCAUGGAGAAAGAAAUGCACGGAGCAAAAAAUGGGCAACACAAUGACUACUAGAUCUACGGACAGCCAGGAACCAGGACAAACAACAUCCAUACACACGGAAGAAGUCAAUGAGACGGCAACACAAUGACUACUAGAUCUACGGACAGCCAGGAACCAGGGAAAACAACAUCCGUACACACGGAAGAAGUCGAUGAGACGUAUAAGACUUAUACGCUGCCACAAAUUGACAAAUGACGAUGGAGAAUAAGAUGGAUGUUUAACAAAACUGGAAAAAGACCUGUGCCGUUAUUUUUACCGUACAGAGAUUAUUGCAAAACGAGGUCGAAUAUCUGCAGUACUGUUUCCAAGGCAGGUGAAAGAAAAUAUCGACCUCCUGAUACGCAGCAGAAAUUCUCUAACAAACUGUUUCAAAAGUAAAUAUCUUUUCGCAACAAAAUCUGCAUCAUCGCAUAUUCGUGGGACAGAUGUAUUACGUUCGAUUGCAAUUGACUGUGGAGCUGAACAUCCGGAAAGGCUUCGUUCUACAAAGUUAAGGAAACAUAUUGCCACAAUGACUCAGCUUUUUAACUUGUCUGAAAAUGAAUUAGACAUUCUAGCUAAAUUUCUUGGUCACGACAUUCGGGUACAUAGAGAAUUCUACAGAUUACCAGAUGGAACCAUGCAGGUUGCCAAAGUCAGCAAGCUGCUCAUGAUGAUGGAAAGUGGACAAAUUACCAUAAAUUCUGUCAAUUCGCUAGACGAUAUUGAUGUUGACGACGAAUGUAUUGAAGAUGAACAAUAUUCUUCUGAAUCAUCAGAAAAUGAAAAUACUGAAGACCUUGAAACUCUUCUUCCCAGCACCAGUCAACCAGAAAUAACAGACAAAGAAAAGGGUACUUCAAAUACCAGGAGAACAAAACAAGCAGCCAAAAAGCAAUGGAGUGAAAACGAAAAAGGAGCUGUUCACAGACACGUUGAUCGUUUUUUUGAUAAUGGGUAAAUUACCAGGGAAAAAAGAAAUACUUGCGUGUAUUGAAAGUGAGAAUGACCUUCACAACAGAAGUUGGAAAAAUGUCAAAGACGUUUGCAGAAAUUUAAUUGAAACAAAAAAGCGACGAGGACUUUUAACUCAAAAAAAUAUUACACAUAUAAUGCACGUUUAGGAGAAUACGUUAAAGGAUGAAGUUGCCACAUGUGUUUUGUGUGUUUUCUUGUUCUAUAUACUCUUUUCGAAAACGAUAUAUGUGUGCUUAUUGUAUUUGAAUGUUUUAUUAAUACGGUUCAGUCAAAAACGAUAUUUGUUCAUAAUCAUAUCGCCGAACAAAUUAGGAUUGGUAUAUAGUUCGGCCAAAGAGUGUUUCUUUGUACUUUCUAUUACGAGUUUCUACGAGUUACUCACUAUACAAGUUAUUUUUUACCCUAAACUUGGUGAAUAUGAAUGAAUAUAGCAAACAUGAUAGCAAAUCAAUCUAGAAGGCUAAACGUUCAGAGAAGGCACAAAAAAAAAUCAGUCGGAUAAAUGGAAACAAACAUUUUGUUCAAGCAUAACAAACAAAAACUUUAAGAUUUAAUAAGAUAAAUGUAAAUAACAUAAAAAACUACUGUUAAACUACUGCUACAAUGUGAUAAAUACAAAUGAAUAUUUUGUCAAUUUUACAAAAUUUGUUUUGAAUGACAGGUGUCUGACUUGCAGUUGAGUACUUAAUAGUUAUUUUAAAAUAAAAAUUUACCAAAAUGUAAAUUAUUGCGUAAGUAUUGCACUAGAAUUGAUUAAAUGGUUGUUAAAUAUUACAAUAAUUUCCUACACAGAUUUUUGUGCAUAUGUUUUGCGUGUAGAUAUUGACAUUAACUAUCAAUUCACAUAUUUGCUUUGUGUAUAUAAUGGUAUGUUUAUAUGUUUUUCAUAUCAAAAUUGCUUGAUCUACAAAAAUUCGCGAGGAGUUAUGCAUUUUUUCCCAUAUUUUUAAUUGAAGUUUAUAAUUCAACGGCGAUGAAAAUUACUAAGAUGCCAGAUUUAGUUAUGUUUUGUCUCAUUUAUGGUUAAAGAUCAAUUAACAUACCCAUUUCCCAGACUAAGAUAUUGUUAAAACAAUGUAUCGCGUUUGCGACUGACCUCUUUUAUGCAUUCUAACACAAGCUAUUUACUUGUUUUUUCGAAUACUCUUCAUAUACACACACUUGAACAAGCUGUAGAUUACCAAGAACAAAACAUAUUUGAAACAUAUAUUUAUAUGUGAUAUGUAAAUAUAUGCACAAAGCUAAUAAUUCAUCAUGUUUAUACACUUUGCGAUAUGAUGCUAUAAUGUCGGUUGUUUUAGUGAUUAAUCGUUAUGUUAACCAUGUUAUCCGCCAUCUGGAAUGUAAUUGUUUUGACAUGUAUGCGAAAUUGAUCUUGUUCGAUUUGGUUCUGUAUAUUCAGAAUUGAGUCACACUGUUAUAAUUUUCCUGUUGGUACAUAUUAUUUUUAAGUUGGCACCAACAAGGGUCUAACAAUUGAUCCACAUGUGCACUCCCAGUAAGUAUAUAUACUAUAAUGUAAGUGAUUAAAAAUAAUAUUAAACUACGUGUUUGAUAA